CACGCGAAAAGCUUCAAACGUCAUCGGCAGCAGCAACGAACUUUAAAGAUGGCGGAUGGAGGGGGCGAGAAGCAAUUAACCUACACGCAAGACAAUGUGUCCGUACGCAUUCUCAGUUCGCGGGGCGAGGAGACGACAUCUGGGAAGCUGGAAAUUACAAAAGAGAAGCAUGGGCACGUUGUGACGUGGACCGCAUACCCGCCAGCACCGGCAGACAAGGAUCAGCAGCGGUACGACGAGAACUCUGCCGGUGUUUGGGAGGACCUAAGCGCCGACAGUGCGGUCUCUUACCACGUUGGCGGCAAGGACAAGAACCAGUCACUCGACUCUGUUAAGAUCAAGAAAGAGAAUGGCACCUCCUCCGGCGGUGGUGACUCGCCCGCCUCCGGGCAACACUCUGUGGUCACGUUUGAGGUGACCGACCUCACCUCUUACCGGUGCCGCCAAGUGGCCGACACGCACGAGCUCACGCUGAACCUCAGUGACGGCACGCGCCUGCCCACAUUCAUCUUCAUCGAGCGCCGCUACGAGCACUUCAUUCGAGCCCUGCACGAACACGUUUCCUUCAAAAGGUCGCGAAAAGACCCGCUCCUCUACCUGGUUCAGAUGCCAGCAGUGGAGGCACUCCACAAGUCGUUUGACCAGUUGAACCUGUAUCCCGAGUCGUCAUCACGGUACGACGUAAUUCGGAAGUUCCUGACGAAUCCAACGUGGGAUGCGACUUGGGACGGCUUUGCCAAAGUGGCAAACUAUGUCACGGGGGCCGCAUCAGGCUUGCCCGGCGACGAGUACCGGCUCGGUUAUGGAUACCUCGAGGAACAGCAACCCGACAGUCUAACCGGCCUCGAGAUCAGUGCCCACAGCGAGGAGCCCGGCUUCGAGGUGGUCAUCAGGACCCUGCCCAAGCGGACCGAAGUGAAGCGCGGCGCACCACUCUGUCAUGAGGAGUGGGCCAUGGCGCACAAUCCGGAGGGGCGCAUUCUCAACGAGGCCAGCCUUAGGGAGCGCAUCUUUCGAGGGGGCAUUGCUGCUGACCUGAGGAGAGAGGUGUGGCCGUUCUUGCUGGAGUACUACUCCUUCGACUCAACCUACAAGGAGCGUGAGGCACUCCGGAAGAAGCUCAAGGACUGCUACUACCGGAUGAAGCUUCAGUGGAAGUCAAUCAGUGAUGACCAGGAGUCGCGAUUCGCUGAUUACAGGGAAAGGAAGAACCUUGUUGAGAAGGACGUCAGCCGCACUGACCGGACGCACGUCUUCUACCAAGGCGAGAACAAUUCCAAGGUCGAGAUGCUCAACGACAUCCUCAUGACCUAUGUCAUGUACAACUUUGAUUUGGGAUAUGUCCAGGGCAUGAGUGAUCUGCUGUCACCAAUACUGAUGGUGAUGGACAAUGAGGAGGACGCCUUCUGGUGCUUCGUUGGCUAUAUCAAGCGAGUGAUGUCCAACUUCGACAUUGACCAGAGCGGCAUGAAGAAGCAGCUGACCCAGCUCUUUGACAUCCUUGCCGUUGCUGUUCCCAAGCUGGCCAUUUACCUCGAGGAGCAUGAGUCUGGCAACCUGUACUUCUGUUUCCGCUGGCUCCUGGUUCUCUUCAAGCGCGAGUUCAGGUGCGAGGAGAUCAUGAGGUUGUGGGAGGUACUAUGGACUGAUCUGCCCUGUAAGAACUUCCACCUGCUUCUCUGCGUGGCCAUCCUGGACCACGAGAAGGAGUUGCUCAUUGAGAACAACUAUGGGCUCAACGAGAUCCUCAAGCACAUCAACGACAUGUGCUACCGCAUAGACCUUGAGUUGAUCCUUUCAACAGCUGAAGCAAUCGUAGAACAGCUCAAGGGUUCCACGAAGCUUCCCGAGUCGGUUCAAGAAGCGCUGGGCAUAUGCAUUGCCAAUGAAGCUGUGCCAGUCGAUGCUAGUGAUGCUCUUGUUGUUGGCAACGCCGGCAUCAAUGCACCCGCGUCUCCGGAGAGCCUUCGCGAUGGGCAGCGGACGUGCAGUACCAGUUCCGUGGAAGUGCUUUCGGAUGGCGACGUGGAGGCGAGGUACGAGCGCCACCUCCAGUUCUCCAUUUGAAGUGCUCCUUUCGGAGGGCCUAACAGAACACAUCAGCUGGGCUGGGGUGAAGGCAUUUGAAUCUCUUAGCCAACAGCUUGCUUCAAGGAUACCCAAAUAGCCUGGAGUGCAGCCUACUGUGUGACGGUGACAUACUUGUAUUUUUGUACAGAAUGUGGAGUUUUCAGCUUUCGGAAAUAGAUUGUUGUGAUAAUGCCCUUCAAGGAUGUUCGAUUCUGGUCGAGAAUGAGUACUGCGAGUUCUGCGAAUACUGUUUGACUUCUCUGAUGAGUACUUUGUCCUGAGGCCUCAGCUAACAAUAUUCCCUUUUGUUUGCGCCAAACUAUUUCUGCGAUUACGCUUGCAUGUUAAGUUACGGAUAAUUUAGUGAAUCGCUAAGAACGUUUGAAUUUAAAAUGUUUUGACACAUUUAUGAGAAGAGAGAAAAGCUGUUUGUUCUGCUUUCUGCAAAUGAGAAUACGAACUUCCACUUUGUCUAUUGAACAAGAAUAUUUGCUAAUGUGUAUUAUUUUGUAAUAGACAUUCAGUUUUUGCUUAAGCUGUUCAUUUGUGACUUUAUCUAGACUGAUUCUUUUCUAUAAGUUUUCUCUCGAUAUUUGUUGUUGAUGUGCUAAAUCUGCUGGUGCGUCAGCAAUUAUUUAUGCAGAUAAAGCUUCACAUUUUCAGGUUCAGCAGCUUCAGCGUCAGUUCACGAGAUUCCGCUUUCUGCAGGCGAUCUGUUCAGCUGCACUUUUUAUUACACAGUGGUGUGUAGAAUACUGGAGUGUACAGUAUCGUGUGUGUGUGUUUAAUAGCAUGUUACCAGCAUUUUUUUCUGACCAAUACAUUACAUAUUUUAUAUAUAUAUAUGUAUAGCCAUGAGCAAUUCGAAAAUCGAACGCCAUAAUUUUCUUUGAGAUACCAGAGUGAAUAAACCCGCAGUUGACAGUUUCAACUGCGUUCGCAACUCUAAAUUAUUAAGCAGAAGGGUGCCACUUGGUAAUCAGUGCAUUAGAUCUUUAUUCACACAUCACAAGUUAAGGUUGCUUGAUUGCACACUUGGCGAUUUCUAUCAUAUUAUUCAUGAAUGUACAAGCAAACAGCAGCUCUUGCUAUUUUGUAUUGUAUUCCUGUAUCUUUUGUAGUGUUGUUUAGCUUUACACUUUUUGUAUCAGUGAAGCGGAACUUUGUAUUUGCUUUGUGCAUUAUGUCCUUGCUGUAAGAUAUUUCAUAGCCAAAAUACAUUUUGUGAGUUCUACUGUGCGUGUCUGAUAUGACCAUCUGUGCCACACCGAAAUGACUACAUUCGUAUUCUAGUUUGGUUAUGUGAGCAAUAUAUAUGUAUAUGUACUACCUUGUUAACAGUACGCAUUGAAGACCUGGUCAGAGUAGUACACGCCAGUUUGAGGUGCUGAUAUUUACUCUGAAACCUUCGUUACGAGAUUCUCGCUUUAUAGAUUUACAUUACAGAUAGGGCCAUUGUAUGCUAUGCUGUUAUGCUUUCUUGUAGCUUUUCAUUCUACAGUAAGGUAGCCACAAUAUUCUUAUUAGCCAGCAUUAUUUCAAUCUAUUUUGUUAUGUCUUCGAAACCCAACUAGCCACACUCCUCAGUUUUAUUCUGUCCUUGGUUUAACUGUUUAUUGCGGGGCUCACAUUUUAGGAGAAAACUUUUGUGAAUGCUACUGCAUCUGUUUGCCUUACCAUGUCUUUUAGCUUUCAUUUUGCUUUACUGUAGAAUUAUGAAACAUUUUGGUAUAUUGUUGGUAUUCUACAAUGCAUGUAAUGAAGAGACUAGUGCAUUGAAUAAGGAGUAAGAUUCUUGAAAAUUUAUUUCAGAUAUCACAAUCCUGAAAGCAUUUUUCUUGGCUUCAUGCACGUAGUUACAUGACAGAGUUCUGAUAAAGUAACUAUAUUGGUCCUUUUAUGUCAUUGGCUACAUGAUGAAUCCAGUAGGAUUAUAUAUAUAUUAUUGUUGGAGAUUAGUGAAAGCAUUGAAGAGGUUGUUUGUAGCUUUAAUAAAGAUGUUCUAUGCACAUCUUCUCCUUAAGGUAAUUCUUUUCAAUUUUUAAUAUUCGCAUGGAAAUUAGUAACCCUGCACUUAAAGCCAUCAGAUAGUUCACUGUCUACCUGCUACCAUCUGCCAGCCUUUGUGUUAGCCCACCCUGCAAUUAGUAGAACACAGAUUAACUUCAAAGGCUUUCUUCACAGUACAAAAGCAUAAUUGAUAUAUCUGCACAUUAGCGUGCGUAUAUUUAAAACAUUUGUGUGCAGUUAAACCCAUACAUAUGGAACCUGAAGGGAAUCACAGAAAAAUAUAGGUAGGUCUUUCGGUAAGAUAUUUGAUAUAUUGUAAAAUAUCUUCAAGAGGAUUUUACAUCCACUCAAUAAACAGAAUGGUUAAUUAUAUGUGAAUUGAACCUGUGCAAAUUCAAUUGUGUGCUUAAUAUACACAGCAUUCUGUUUGUUCAGUAUUGUAAUACUAUUAAGGCUGCUAGUCCGCGCUUCAUUUAGGAUUGUGAUUGCUAAAGCACUGUAUGUAUUAUGUAUUUAGCGAGCUAGUGUCUUACUUUGAAUCUUAUGCUGUCGAUGUCUCAUAGGCAGCACUUGCAUAUCAAGCAGGGGUGCGUCUGUCUAAAACCUGUAGAUUGACUUGUGUGCAAUAGGUCUGUAAAUGAAAUUGGCUUUACAUAUAAAACUGAAAAUGUUUGUUGUUGUUGGAAAUAUAUUGACGGUCGUACUGAGGCAGCUAAACAAUAAGGCAAAACUUAAGUGUGUUCUCCAACUAGCGUUAUGCCAUUAAUCAUUCAAAAGUGGAUUCAUUUAGGCCUCUGCAGAAAUGAACACAUGGGGUUCGACGGAAUGCGUUGGCAGGCAGUUGGUGUGAAUUUAUAGUGCUAAUGCAGCGCAAAACAACACCAUUGGAAAAAAGACAACACAGCGCUGCUCUCAACUGAGGUCAUUUGACUGUAGCGCUGUGUUCUGUCUCUUUUCCUGUGGUGUCAUUUUGUGCUAAAUUAGCACUAUGUAGACAUUAGGGGUCUGCCAGAAUUCAGAUGACCACGACAGUCUCUGAGAAUAAAGCCCAACAUAAUCGAACACUUAGUGUAAGGCAUGCUUAGUAUUCUGUUAUAAUGCAGUUGAAUAUGAUGCAAUGUCAGUUCUUUUCCAAACAUGCUGCAUAGCUGGCUGUGGAAGAGCUGAGUCCCACUUUUUUGUGUUAGAAUCUCUUGUGGCUUAUCAUACGCCCUCAAUCAAGACGAUAUUGCUCAUUGAUGUAGUAUGUGGGUAUUGUGGUUAGUCCCGCGCAAUCAAAUCACUCUUUAUGUUGUGUCCUACUCAGUCAACUACCCGUUGAGCCCUUCUCUUGCUGUUUGUGGUGUUCAUCAAGUACUUGAGGUGUUGGUAGCACUUGUGUGGUUGGCUUUCUGUUGGUGCUGUGUAAGACAAUGCCGCAAGGUCUGCAAAAGAUACUAUUGCUCGUUCUUGCAAAGCAUUGUAGUUUAUCUCUAGAUCAAAGUGCUAUGCAACAAUGUAAUUCACAACGUAUGUAUGUGGAAAUAAAUGGCAAGUACAUUCAA